GGUUUGUGGCUCAGCGGUAGAGCGUUCAUCUAGCACGUUCGAGGCCCUGAGUUCAAUCCUCAGCACCA
rnacentral:tRNA from 1 species